GCUCCCUUCGUCUAGUGGUUCAGGACGCUGCCCUCUCACGGCGGUAACAGGGGUUCGAAUCCCCUAGGGAGUACCA
rnacentral:tRNA from 1 species